UACGGAGGGUGCAAACGUUGCUCGGAAUCAUUGGGCGUAAAGCGCACGUAGGCGGCGGCAUAAGCGGAAUGUGAAAGCCCAGGGCUCAACCCUGGAAGUGCAUCCCGAACUGUGUCGCUUGAAUCUCGGAGGGGGACAGAGAAUUCCCGGUGUAGAGGUGAAAUUCGUAGAUAUCGGGAGGAAUACCAGUGGCGAAGGCGGCUCUCUGGACCGAGACUGACGCUGAGGCGCGAAAGCGUGGGGAGCAAACAGG
rnacentral:rRNA from 1 species